UACGUAGGGUGCGAGCGUUGUCCGGAAUUAUUGGGCGUAAAGGGCUCGUAGGCGGUUUGUCGCGUCGGGAGUGAAAUCCACUGGCUUAACUGGUGGCUUGCUUUCGAUACGGGCAGACUGGAGGUAUGCAGGGGAGAACGGAAUUCCUGGUGUAGCGGUGAAAUGCGCAGAUAUCAGGAGGAACACCGGUGGCGAAGGCGGUUCUCUGGGCCUUACCUGACACUGAGGAGCGAAAGCGUGGGGAGCGAACAGG
rnacentral:rRNA from 1 species